rnacentral:sRNA from 1 species
GACGAGGGCGAGGUCGCGGAAGGUGAUAGGGAGGACACCUUCACGUAGCCUGUCUGCUAUGAACUUCACGCCGUCUUGAGUAGAGAGAUCAAUAACCUGUGACUUGACGCGACCUGUAGUAGCAUAUGAUCAGUUUGUUUCGAGAGGUUGUAUUCCCUGAUGUAGUCUGCCCUUCAAAGAACUGGGUGUGACAUGAUAUGUACUAAAAUGACAUGCAGUUCUUGCAGCUGAGAUCACAGAGAGUAAAUGUAAGCAGAGAUCACAUCAC